CCCGCAUGAUGAUAUAUUGGCAAGUUUGAUGAUCUAGUCAGACCAAUAGAUUUCGGCCUCUUGCCUGUGGUUAGAUGGGUAGUCUUGGUGGUGUGGUUGAGUUUUAUUGCACUGCUGUAAGGGCCCAUCCACAGUGAACUUGUCACCUUACAACCUCUGCACCCCCCUAGAGCAAUGGGACGGGACAAGUGGAAGAUGUCAAACAGUGUGUGUGUGUGUGUUGUAUGGAUGUAUAUGUAUCAGCUGGCAAGAGGCUAUAGUCUCAAUAUAAUUGGUUUGGCAAAUAUGAACUACUUUCUUUGGUAACCUGAGGGC